rnacentral:lncRNA from 1 species
UCAAAAUUAUAAUUUAGAGAAAAUUUGGAUGUUUUCUACUUAUUAUGGUGUGGCUUUUCUAAAGUUAAUACUUUCCUCACAUAGUAAUGUAUUGAUUGAUUUUCAUGUUAACACCCUUUUUUAUUUUUCAAGAUCUCAGUAUGAGAAGAGACUAAUUCCUAAGUGGCAUCUUACUGUCAUUUUAGGGUUGAACCAAAAGCUUUUCUUUUCUUUUGUUCAACUUUAGAAAGUACUCUUUUGAACUUUUAAUUCAUUCUUGAGGCAUCUAAGACCAGGAACUUAAUAUAUUAACAAGCAAAAAUAGUAUAAAUAUGUAAAAAAUUGUUGACUAAGAUAAUUUUCUAAGUGUCAGUGAAAAAUAAUGAAAUUGUGUGUUGUUUUGAAUUAUAAGUGUUGAUUUGAGUAUUCCUGUGUUAACUUUUUUAUUAGUACUAUUUAUGCUGUUUGGGAACUUUUAAAAUAAGACUUCUUAGUGCAAAUCCACAUUUUCGUUUUCUAAAUUUAGAGCUACCUUAAUAGCCUC